GGGCAAUCGUUAAAUGGAGGUGCUGGGGCUGUCGCUGACCUUUGAAAAAGGUCGUGCACGCCCGGAGCACUCUCUCAUAUCCAUCUCACCCCUUUGUGCAUUGCCGCGUGGGUCCCCUUUUGGCUUGUUCCGAGGGGGACCUGCGUUUUUACAUAGACACCCUUUGAAUGCAUGUGUAGAACGUCUUACUUUUUGCGAUCACACGCAAUCAAUACAACUUUCAACAACGGAUCUCUUGGCUCUCGCAUCGAUGAAGAACGCAGCGAAAUGCGAUACGUAAUGUGAAUUGCAGAAUUCAGUGAAUCAUCGAAUCUUUGAACGCACCUUGCGCCCCUUGGUAUUCCGAGGGGCACACCCGUUUGAGUGUCGUGAAUACUCUCAACCUUCUUGGUUUCUUUGGCCAUGAAGGCUUGGACUUUGGAGGUUUUUCUUGCUGGCCUCUUUUGAAGCCAGCUCCUCCUAAAUGAAUGGGUGGGGUCCGCUUUGCUGAUCCUCGACGUGAUAAGCAUUUCUUCUACGUCUUAGUGUCAGCUCGGAACCCCGCUUUCCAACCGUCUUUGCACAAAGACAAUGUUCGAGUUGUGACUCGACCUUACAAACCUUGACCUCAAAUCGGGUGAGACUACCCGCUGAACUUAAGCAUAUCAAAAGGGGGGAGAGAA
rnacentral:rRNA from 1 species